AACCAAAGCCAGGCCAGGCCAGCCAGCCACUGCCGCCGCACUCCCCCCGAGUCCACUGCCGCCGCACGCUCCGCGACGUGAUGGCCGCGCUCCGCCUCGCCUCCUUCACCCUCCGCCCGGCCGCCGCCGCGGCGUCCCACUCCUCCGGCGCGGCGGCGCCCCGGUCCUCCGCAUCCUUCGCCCGCGCGGCGCGGGGGCUCCCCUCGCUCCGCCUGGCACCGCCCCGCCGCCGCGGGGACCUCGCCAGGCCCCGCGCCGCGGCCGACGCCGCGGCCGAGAGCUACGCGACCGCGCUGUCCGAGGUGGCCGCCGAGAACGGCACACUGGAGCAGACGGUAUCCGACCUCGAGAAGCUGGAGAAGAUCUUCGCCGACGAGGCCGUCGCCGAGUUCUUCGACAACCCCACCGUGCCCCGCGAGGAGAAGACCCAGCUCAUCGACGAGAUCGCCAAGUCGUCCGAGCUGCAGCCCCACGUCGUCAACUUCCUCAACGUCGUCGUCGACAACUUCCGCGCGGCCAUCGUGCCGCAGAUCGUCGCCGAGUUCGAGAACGUCUACAACGCGCUCACGGGCACCGAGGUCGCCACCGUCACCUCCGUCGUGCAGCUCGAGUCGCAGGACCUCGCGCAGAUCGCGCAGCACGUGCAGAAGAUGACCGGCGCGCAGAACGUCCGCCUCAAGACGCAGCUCAACCCGGAGCUCAUCGCCGGCUUCACCGUGCAGUACGGGCGCGACGGCUCCAACCUCAUCGACAUGAGCGUCCGGAAGCAGAUUGAGGAGAUCGCGUCAGAGUUCGAGUUGCCCUCCGUCCCUCUCGAAGUCUGAUCGGCUUGCGGCGUCAUUCCUCGCCCUUGAAGCCUAGGUCCUUUCUGUUGCUUCUCUCCCUUCUCUUCUUCUGUAUCAUUCUCUGAUUGAAUGAGUGAAUAAUACUACAUUACUGGAUUCCAGGAUUCGUAUUGUGUGCUUAUCUUGGCUUCUUAGCAUUGUUCGUAAUUUGAAGAUAAAGUGUAUAGCUAGUUCUGUGUCGUAUCCGCGAGGUUGCUAGAUGUUAUUUCAAAUUCAGACUUCAGCGGAAAGAGUCCAAGGAAGAAACUACUUGAAUUCGGUUCUAAAGUAGAGAAAGUGGUGGAAAUGGUGAAAAUGUCAUGAUUUUGUACAAUGCCUUUACAUACUUUAUGGCGUCGAUUUGUGAACUUAACUUCAGUAAACAAUGCACACUUUAGGUAGGAAGAGGAAAGUCCAGAAAUCAGAAUGCCUAAACAUGUAAUUCUGAUCAUGUAAACCCAAAUGCCCCAACUGCCUAACUCAGAUCUUCCAGACUUGAACCCAACUGCUCUUGAGCUGCAGAGCUGUCGAUUUGAUUUUCCCAAUUGCCAAUCUAAUUUGAAGUGGAUAUUCAUCUUUGCAGCUGCUACUCUCUGGGAAUUGUAAGAAUCUAGCGGGGAUGUUGGUCUUCUCCCCUCCAAAGUUCAAACCUGCAGAUCAAUGGUGGUUGCUCAAAUACAUAUGAACGGUCAUUCUUACCCGCGUUUCUUUUUCCAUUUUUUGGCGGGGAGCGUAUGUAAUUCUUUUUCUCCUCUUCUGUGGUUGACACUGUAAUAUUUUUAAAACACUCAAAUAUAGCUGAGUUUGCUCCUCUAGUCUCAUUUACAUACCCGCUGGCUGAUAGAACUGAGGAACUUAGUAUAGGAUGCCUGUGAAUAGUUGUCCACCAGGAUUCCAGGAAA
rnacentral:lncRNA from 1 species